rnacentral:rRNA from 1 species
GAGUUUGAUCCUGGCUCAGAUUGAACGCUGGCGGCAUGCCUAACACAUGCAAGUCGAACGGCAGCACAGCAGAGCUUGCUCUGUGGGUGGCGAGUGGCGGACGGGUGAGUAAUGCAUCGGGACCUACCUGAACGUGGGGGAUAACGUAGGGAAACUUACGCUAAUACCGCAUACGUCCUACGGGAGAAAGCGGGGGACCUUCGGGCCUCGCGCGGUCAGACGGACCGAUGUUCGAUUAGCUAGUUGGUAAGGUAAUGGCUUACCAAGGCGACGAUCGAUAGCUGGUCUGAGAGGAUGAUCAGCCACACUGGAACUGAGACACGGUCCAGACUCCUACGGGAGGCAGCAGUGGGGAAUAUUGGACAAUGGGCGCAAGCCUGAUCCAGCAAUGCCGCGUGUGUGAAGAAGGCCUUCGGGUUGUAAAGCACUU